rnacentral:lncRNA from 1 species
UCCUCCAAAAGAUUAUCUUUUCUCUUUCACUUUCUCUUGUCUUCAAUAAUCUUAACACUCUAAACUUCCACCAUUAAAUCCUUCAUUUUUUACACUUAAUGAUGCCAAUCCUUUUUCUCAACAUUCUUCGCUUUUCUCCUCUUGGUUCCUUGGAAACUUCCAUUUAAAGGUUUUUGUUUUUAUUUAUCUUCUUUUUUUUUUUUUUUUUACUCUCAGUGAUCCUUUUUUGUUUUAUUAUAUUUUUUGACUUAGCAUUAAUUUUUUUUUCAAAAUUUCUUUUUGUGUUGUUGGGUUGUUAAAAAGGAUUAGAUUUGAUGGGUCAAUGGCGGACAUGGGUGAAGCGGGGAAGAUGGAGAACGGUGAGAUGGUUGUGGAGACAAGCUUUACGCGUACCGUGGGUUGGGAGCAUCAAGGAAGCUUUGGAGGAGUUGAAGCUCAAUCCUCUCCAUCUUCUUGAUUUGAUUAGAUUUGAUGGGAUGAUAAGAUUUCGGGUGCACCUCAUUAUGCAUAUAGAGUUGACUGUUGACGGUAAAAUAUGUGGUUUUUCUUUAUCAUUAAUUCUUCUUGAUUUGAUAUCCGUAUCUUAUUGAUUUGUUUUCUAAUAUUUUUGCGUGGUUGAAGGAUAAAGGUCAUCCCUCCUCGCUCGUGCAGCUUGUAGUCAUCCUCAUGCAACCUGUAUUACUUGCUCUUAUAAAUAAUUUGGUUAUGGUAGAAGAUCAUCGGGCAUCGCACUUCCAAAUCUCUGCCCAUUGUGAGUCUUUAUAAUCCUUCAAUUUUCAGUUUUUGAUUGUAUUUAUUUCUUAUUUGAUCAUAUUUACGUGGUAUUGUAGAAUUAUAUUGCACAUGCUUAAAUUUCGUGAAAGUGGAGGUAGAUAUGGUUCUUUAGAUCUAAUAGAAAGAACUGAAAAAAAUGAUUGUAAUUUCUUAUCAUAGAAAAUCUAAGAAAUUUAAAAACAAAUAAAUCAAAUAAAAAGAAACAAAAAAAAGAAAAUAACUAUCAAUUUACAAAUAAUACAUAAAAAUAGAAAGAAAUGAAAAAAAAUGAACUAUCAAAUAUGAAAAAAAAAGCCCAUAUAAAGAAAUUUAGAAAUAAUUAAUUUAGUAAGAAAUAAUAAAUAAUUUAGUAAAUUGAAUCCAGAGACAAAAAAAUCAAUCAAAACAAACAAAAAGAGUUAAACAUAAAUUAAUUUAGAAAUAAGGCCACAUAAAGAAAUCUAGAAAUAAAAAAUAAUUUAGUAAAUUGCAUCCAGAAACAAGAAAUCAUCCAAAUUAAUUUAGAAAGAAACAAAAAAAAAAAAUGAAUUAUCAAAUUAGAAAUAGUAUGAGUAAAAAAUUGAUUAUCAAAUAUGAAAUAAUAACUAGAAAUAAUAAAUAAUUUUGUAAGAAAUAAUAAUCUAGAAAAAAGAAGAAGCCCAUAUUAAUUUAAGGGGUUGAGGGUGCAGGUGCACACCUGUAGACUGUUAAUUUUUCUUUUUCUUUUUUGUCAAAUAUCUCCUUUUUUCUGUGUAUAUGUGAUCGUAGUUUUAAUUUAUUUUAAACAAUCAUGUAUCAGGCGAGGCGAAGAUGUGGAGAAACAUAAUCAUCAUAUGUUAUUUUAAUCUCUUACUUUUUAUUUUUAAGUUAUUUAAUUUAAUACAUAAAAUUAUAUUUUUGGUUAAUUAAUAAAUUAUUUAGUACUUUACAUGCCUAGUUUGAGGAGUAAAGUAAUUUGCAUGUAUUAUUUCAAUGUAGUCAGGCAAUCUAUGAUAUGUUGAUGCUUAAUCCUACGAAACUAUUAUAAGAAAAUUUAAGUUGACUAUCAGCAGGAUGAUGGCAGUGAAAUCAAUUGCUCUCUUGUUGAUCUAUUUGGUCCUCACCUUAUAGUUAUAGUGACGGAAAAAUAUGUGGUUUAUAAUCAUUCUUAUUGAUUUGUUUUUCAAUACUUUUGCGUUGCUCUAGGAGAAUGGUCGUCUCCCCUAUUGUUGCUCGUAGAGGAUCAUCGGGCACAGCAGUUUCAAAUCUCUGCCCAUUGUGAGUGUUUUAUAAUUUUUUAUUUUUUUGUUUUUGAAUAUUAUAAAAAAUCUUGUAUUUAUUUGUUGUUUUAUUAUUUUUACAUCAUAAUCUAAAAUUAUAAAAUUCUUCUAGAUAUCUUGUUAAUUUUGUGAAUAUGGAAAUAGAUAUGGUUCUUUAGAUUUACAUGAAA